UACGUAGGUGGCGAGCGUUGUCCGGAUUUACUGGGCGUAAAGGGAGCGUAGGCGGACUUUUAAGUGAGAUGUGAAAUACUCGGGCUCAACUUGAGAGCUGCAUUUCAAACUGGAAGUCUAGAGUGCAGGAGAGGAGAAUGGAAUUCCUAGUGUAGCGGUGAAAUGCGUAGAGAUUAGGAAGAACACCAGUGGCGAAGGCGAUUCUCUGGACUGUGACUGACGCUGAGGCUCGAAAGCGUGGGGAGCAAACAGG
rnacentral:rRNA from 1 species